UACGGAGGGUGCGAGCGUUGUCCGGAAUCAUUGGGCGUAAAGGGCGCGUAGGUGGCCCGGUCAGUCAGUGGUGAAAGCGCGGGGCUCAACUCCGCGUCGGCCAUUGAUACUGCUGGGCUUGAGCACUGUAGAGGCAGGCGGAAUUCCGGGUGUAGCGGUGGAAUGCGUAGAGAUCAUGAGGAAGACCAGUGGCGAAGGCGGGUCUCUGGACAGUUCCUGACACUGAGACACGAAGGCCAGGGGAGCAAACGGG
rnacentral:rRNA from 1 species